GCGGCUGGGCACCGCAGGCAGGACCAUGCGCUGCCGUGUGUGUGUGCGGGGGUGUGCGGGGGUGUGCGCUGCCCCGCGCCGCGGCCCUUGCUCCCGGCCUGGAGGGCUUGUUAGUGGGGCACGGCUCCCGCUCAGCUCCUUACAGUGCUGUAUUUCCCAACCCGCAUUCAACCUGACUAUCCCCAGUGAAGUCAGAUUUUUAUGGGCUUGUUCAUGUGUCACCUCUAUGAGCCAUACAUGCAAACAGACACAACCAGGAAGAGAAAUCCAGCCAGCUGCUGUCAGUCAAACCUCCAGCCAAUGCCUCAUUUAUUAGUGUAAUUAUUUACAAAAUAAAAAAUGAAAUCAAAACAAUGUUUCAUGCUGAGUUCAAUAAACAUAAAUCAGACUUCCA